GUAUCCUUCAAAUCUGAGUGCCAGCCUUUCCAAUUCAUGCUUGUAUCAAUUACUUCCUCGUUGUCUGCAGGCAGUGCAAUAUUACAAUGGGCUGGGUUUGUUUGAGUUUUGGAAGGGGGAGUCCUUCGUACACACCUGCUUUGCUAGGAACACACAUCUUCAUCAACAUCCAUCUAAAAGAGGGAAUAAUUACAAGAUUUUAUUAGAGCUACUUCCUAGAAAUCAUCAAGGAGAAUGCAGAAGGAGAGCAAGUAACAGAAGAUGCCUGACUACAAUCAUUGCACUGAAAAGCUAUUACCUGUGUACAGUAAUGGAUUUAUUUAUAUUAUAGCCGGAUCAUAGGCAAGGUGUUUGGUUAAAUGCUUCUAUAGCUCUCCAAAUAGCUUGAUAGUAGGUUCUACUCUACUGUCGUACUAAUCCUAUUCCACUCUAGUAGAGUGGAUUAAAAAUUUCAAUUAUUCUAAAAUCAUUUGACUGCUAUGAUGUAAGUGGUUUUAUGAGGUUGUCGUUCAUACAACAAAAUUUUAACCAGGCUUUCCAUUUAUAUUUCAUGAAUGAGGAGUCACGCUGGAGAGAGAAAAUCUGUGUAGCUUGAGCAGCGCACUGUAAUCACUGCAGCUGCUGUUUCAGUCUGGUUGGAGUUUAUGGUAGGCUAAAAUGUCCUGUCCUUUAAAUAAUGGGUGGACUUAAAUCUUCCCGGUAUUAGGAGGUAGGGAAUGUCAUUAUUAAAAAGGCAGCCUGGUAGGUAGUAAAAUUACCCCUUGAGAGAGUUGGUUUGUAUGUCAGUUGUAGAAGAAAACAUCUGGUAUAUAGAAAGCUAUUAAACUGUCAGCAGUUCUGAAUAUAUGUGGGAAACGAUAGGAAUAGUGUGUUCAGUGUCUUGUUCAUUCUUGCAGUAAGGAAACAGUCUUUGUGGUUGUCACAAAAUUUCAACAAACUAAACUGUACAAGAGGAUCAGUCAGUCUGUGUGUUACUGGGGUGUGUCUUUUAAAAUGUGACAGACCACUGUGAGGUGUUUCAAAAGUAUGAUCAUUUCUUAUGUUUUGUUAUUAGUCUUCCUCAUCGUCUAUGCCUGUCGUACUAAACUUCACUCACUUUGCUUUAAAUGUGAUUUGAAAAACUAUGAGAGGACUUUCAACAAGUAUCAAAUGUGCUUAGUAUUUCAUACUAGGAUGCACUUGAAAGCCAAGGCAUUGUUUUGUACUGAAGGUCAUGUUGCAAUGCCAAGAGCUACUAGCCCUUUUUCACAAUAGACAGCUUUCGCAACAGAAGACUUUCAAAUGAAAAGAUAGUAUACACAAAGCAGUGUCUCUGUUGGCCAGCAAUUUCUCUAGGUCUCAUUUCAUUAAGCGUGUUAGCAGAAAUACUGGCAGCCUUCCAUUCCUGUUAUGAAAGUUAUAGCUGUAUAAUUAUGGUCUCUAGCAAAAUUAUGGUCUGUAGCACAAAAUCUUGGCCUUUUUGUUGUCUUAGUACUGGAAUGCUUAACAUGGUCACUUAAGAUUAGGGAGAAUGUGAAUGACAGCAAAUACAGUUUGGAUCUAUCUAGUUUGGUACUAAUGUUGAUAUCAAAUAUAAUUCUUUAAAAGAUUGGGUCAAGUUUCUCUGAGCAGUUAAGCAUGCUAAGUGCAUAAGCGUGAGCAACUAAAUCUGUCCAAAGUCAUUUUCUGUCUAAAUGGUGGUCAUUUCAGAGCUUUUACCCGGGUUAGUAGCAAUGAGGGUGAUGUGGUUAUAAAUGGGCUUAGGGAAGGGGGUUGGCACAGAUUAGGUGAAGGAGGGGUGUUGUAAUUCUCCCAUUCAAAACAAACUGACAAUGUUAAUGAACAGUGUGUGAUCAUCUUUUGUUAUUUCAAAUGUAUAUUUUAUAUAGCCAUGUUUUUCCCACACUAUAACAAUGAUAAUCAUAAAGCUGAAACUGUUACAUAAAUCACAAGAAAUUAAUGCUAAUAUUAACUGAAGUCAAUUAAAUCUUGCCUCCAUUUAAUACACCCUAAGUCGAUUAAAUCUUAUCUCCAUUUAAGGAAGUUCCUUUACUAAAAAGGAUUCUGGGAUUUAAUUAUAAAUUAAACUAGCUUUCUGCAAGUACAGUAAUAGAGUGACUAAACUAAAUAUUUAACGUUGUCUGUAUUUUUGCAGAACUUUGCUGUUUCCCAUCUCUUCAAAGCUGUUCUUGUUUACUCUUGGAGAAGGGGAGUGUUCCGGGCAUGUAUGAAAGUAAUGAAAGUCUAUUAAAGUAAUUCAGAGGUUUGUCAAGGUCAUAGCACAUUUUCAGAUUCAUAAAAAGCUAGGUAGUAGUGGUCCAACUUAAUUUUUAUUGAAGAGACUUUCACAUUCAGUAUUAGUUUAUAAAAUCUCAUUGAGUGAUCCACAUUUGAAAGUGAGGCACAACUAACUAUAUUGCACUGUUCCCACACUGGUAUGUUGUUUGCUGUUCAAUACUCAGUACACACUCACUGUUAGUGGGACUGCACAUAAUACACAUAAUGCUCUUUGUCUGGGAAUCUGAGUGCAUGUACAUUAAAUUUCAGUUUGUAUCAAAAUUGUAGGGUGAUUGUGGGGGUUGCCAGGAGGUUUAAGGAAGUAUUGCGAUAACCCCUGUUUAGUUUUAGUACUUCAUUCCUUUUGCAUAGAACUCCUCUGGAAGAAAUGCUCCACCUACUUAUUGGUAUGUGCUCCUGUUAGCAUACUAGAGCUGAUUUGAAGUAAAAUCCACAGAACUAUGUAUACCGUGGAUAUUGGUUUUUUAGCACCAAGUGUUUCAUUUAGCAGAUCAGGUUCUGUUGUGCUGUGCUGUCCUUUAUGAAAAAAAAGCUGUUUAUUCUGUCCAUUUUUUCUGUGUUGUCAGAAGUUGUUUUCCUCCAUACGAAUAAAUAGUAAAUGAGGUUUGUCAAAAUACACUCGCACAAAAGGGCAACACUGUUGUAUCACAACAGCCAGGAUGAAGAGCAGGUUGAUCCUACAGCAGUCCAUAUACUACAGAUUUCUUUGCCUUUUAGAUGUCCUUAACUGAUCUU